GCGUUGUUGUGAAUGGAGCGGGGCGGGGAGGAUGAUGUCAGCCUGGCGAAUGUCAACAAUGUAGCGAUUGAGGGGCGGGGGCGGCGCCGGGCCGGGGCGCGCGCGGCGGCGGGGCGCGGGCAGCGGCAGAGCGGGGCAGCAGCGGCCGCGGAGCAGCAGCAGCACCACCGCCGCCUCCUCCUCCUCCGCCGCCGUUUCCGCCCGCGCCGGGCCGGGCCGCGCGGCCCCGGGCUGCCCCCGCCGCCGGCCCCGGUGCCGCUCCGGCAGCGCCGCUCCCCCUUCCCUCCUCCUCCUCCUCUCUCUCUCCGCUGCGGCUUUCUCUCCUCCUCCGGCCCCCGCCAGCCCCCUCCUCCCCUCCUCCUCCCUUCCCCCUUUAUUUUUCCCCUCACGGCUCCGGCUCAGGGAGCAGCUGCUUCAAAGCGAGCGCCAUGUGAUGAGCCUCUGGGUCGCGGCUUUUUUUUUUUUUUUUUUUUUUUUUUUUUUUUUUUUUUUAAAUAUAUAAACACCCUCGUAUUUAGCGGGGAGGGCCGCGUGUAGGUCGGUGGUGAGCCGCGGAGAGCGGUUAACAACAAUUUCCAACACAAUAACAACAACAACAACAGGCGGCAGCGCUCCUUCCCCAACCCCCCCCCCCCCCGUCCGCAGCGCAGCGACAGCGGCGACCCCCAAAGUUGCGCGGAGGCGCGGCGAGAGCGAUGAGGCAAGAGAGAAGUUUUUAAAAACAGAAAAAUGUGAUUGCAGAAACAUCAUUGUUGGCAGGAGGACUCGGUGGAUUCAGGUAAUAACGUGACACUGCUCUUUUAUUAUGCUUUAAAAGCUGGCUAGAUUUCAGGUUGACAGUGGCCCUUUGUCAGGAGCUGAGUGGUAGAAGGAGGUGACAAGGUAUAACAAGAGCCGGUGGCUGGCUGCUAAAUUAAUUCAGACCCAGCAAGAGGAUGUAAGUGUUCUGGCAGCAAGGGUGGUUUCUGAAUGGGACACUGUUGCUGGGGCCGGGACAUCUUUCGUUAUCUCAGGCUGUUAAAACCGAAGUUGUUCUUUUUUUUUUUUCCUGUGUUGUUGUCGUUUUUACACUAAGAGUCAGGCUCUAUUUCAGCCUCUUAGAACUUCAUUAAUGUAGGAAGAAAGCUCCAGGCCUGCAAAAGAAGGUCAAAUGAUUAGCUGUCCCUUCAGACUAUGAAAUGCUGAAUCUGUGACUAUUUCCCUUGAAUUCCCCAUUUUAAAAGAUUUCUGACUCAGAACAGAUUGUUAUCUGCUACAAUACCCGUACCUGUAUCUUUACUGUAGCAGACUAACAUUGGGUGUUUUGUAUGAAUGAAGACAAUUUCUUCUUGCAGAUUGGUAGCAAUUGUAAUGUGCAGUGUUUAAAUAUACUACCAAUAUGUUGGCAAAGUUACCUUAAAAUAUCAUCUUUAAUAUAUUCAGGCCCUACUUGUUAAGAAAUGUGAGUCGUUAGCUAAAAUGCAUCUCUUAUGUUUUUAAUCAUUCUAAUUAUUUUCCUAACUGAGAGGCAGAGAUGGCUGGAGGGGGGACAUUUGGAGUGCUAAUUGCAGUGCAGUUCAUAAGUGGAGCCAGGUCCUGCCUUCACAUUUCUUAGGCAGUCCUGGUGAAGCCAUCAGGCUUUUCUGGAACAUAAGGGUUUUCCCCAUGUCUAUUUGAUUUCAGGAUAAUGGCUUACAGUGGCUCUUUCACACACUGAUUUCUCACACGUAUGAGGAAGUAGAAAAGCAUGUAUCCUUGUCAGUGUAGACUUCUGGUUUUCGGCACAAAUUUUUUAGAGGAGCAGAUCAGCAGAGCUGGCUGCCUUAGACUGAGCUGUUUUUAACUGGAGAUUCCUUUGCAUUUUCUUUGUUAGAUGCCAGGCGGAAAAAAAAAUGCAGUUGCAGCUUUGCAUUUCUGUAUUCAUGCCCAAGAAGGACAUUUAAAUAGUGUGUGAAUGGGCGUGGAUUUAGUAUUUCCUCGAGCCAGCUUCUUUUUAAUGUUAAAUUGCAUACUCUGGAAAGAUAGUUGCUGUAUCAACAUCAGCGUAAUGACACUUUAUUAAAAAAUCAAUAUCCAGCCAUAGGAAUGUGUCUUGGUGUAAACAGUUGUGUGCUCACGGCUGUGAUGUGUAUAUGUUUGCAAAUGUAAUGGACUUGGUAACUUGGAUAAACACUGUAUGUGUGACUCAUUGUGGAGUAUGAACUUACUUUAAAACAGCAAGUGUGGGAUUUAUUGAAUAUCGUGUUGCUUGCAUCCCUGCAUACUCACAUUAGGUCAUGAUUAAUCUCAAAUUGGCCAACAACCUGGGAGGAGAAUUACUGCUGAUCUCCCAUAGGUGACUCCAGAAAUAAACAUAAGGAUGGAAGUGUUUUAAAAAGCAUAAAUAGUAGUUAGAAUUCAUAGAAUCAUAAAGUAAACAUACGGUACAAGGUCCUCUAAAUGUAACACUUGAAAGCUUUUUUUAAUAGUUUCAGAAAAGGUUUGUUUAGCUAUCACAGGGAAAGUAAAUAUUUUCAUUCCUUUCUCUUCAGUUCUUUCUCAUUCCAUUUCUCUUUCCUCUUUACCUUUUUUAGUUUUGGUGGGCCGGGGCACCAAAACCAGGCAUGCCUAGAAAGCUCAGUUUGGGGUAGUUUGCUAGUUAUCCUUCUCUUGGUGGAGCCUCAAGGUGUUUGUGCAGUGUCAGGAUGGAGCUGUUGCCAACGGACACCCUGGGUGCUGCAGCAGCCCCAGAGUCUGUCAGUACAAUGUCCAUUUUGUAGUGCAACACAUCAAGGCUUGAUGCUGGGCGAUGCGAUCCCAGCAUGUACUGAAGGUGCACAGGGGGCUGCACACUGUGGCAUCCCCAAUCUUUGGACACAUUUUGUGGGUGGCAUUUCAAGCGCCAGAAGCAGGGUGAUGUG
rnacentral:lncRNA from 1 species